ACCUUGAAAAGAACGGAACGGCCAUGAUUUGCAGGAUUGGACUAAAGAAAUUGUCUGCGGUUUUGGUCCUAAUCGGACUGAUUCUCGCCGUGGAAGGACACAAACUCCCCUGCGGCCACCACGGCUCUGUCUGCAGCCGCUGGGAGUGGGACCAAUACUCGUGCUGUGGACCGUCCAUAUCCGCCCCUGGUGGGCACGACUGCGUCAACGACGGAAAUGAUUGGUACUACUGCCGGGAAAAUCUGAUCGGAACGCCCAACAGGCCACUGUAUCAGUAGUAAUCUUGAGGGAUUCAAAGUGUACUCGUUUUCGAUUUUGCUAAAUUCAUUAAACAACAUCAAGGACAGAAGGAGCAACACGAAGAACAAAUAUUUUAGACUGGUUCGAUAUUCUACUAUUACAGUGGUAUGCUUAUAAUUCAUUCUGCGGGGCUGAUCAAUGCAUCAGAUCUCUACUGCAUUAAAUGAUACCCCAAUUGCAUUGAUUUAUGUAAGUCAUACAAAAAAGAGUCAUGCCAAAAGUGGAAUGACUCUUUUUAUAAUAUAUCCUUGAGAAAUAAAAGAUGCCGUGCCUAUA